CCAUGGACUUUCACUCUGGUCCCAUGGCUAUAGCUGGAUGAUGUGUUUCUACCUCCAAUCAAGCAUCCAGAGGUGGUUGUGGGGUAGAGGAGCAAAUAAUGGGAUUCUAUAAAUAAUAGACUGGGUCUUCAGACAAGAAAGCAUCCAUGCCCGAUACAGAAUGGAAUGGGUCAAGACCCGUUUGGGGCUCAGUCGGAAGAGCAGCAGACUGAUGUGCAAUGGGCUCCCACAUGAAAACCACUCUGGUUAAAGAACCCCUCUGUCUAUGUUAUACAUCGACAUAUGAAGUGAAUGAUCUUUACCUGUCUAUUGAAAUCAAAAUAGGUAUACCCAGAGUGUGGGGCAAAAC